GACGAACGCUGGCGGCGUGCUUAACACAUGCAAGUCGAACGAAGAGCGACGGAAGCUUGCUUCUAUCAAUCUUAGUGGCGAACGGGUGAGUAACGCGUAAUCAACCUGCCCUUCAGAGGGGGACAACAGUUGGAAACGACUGCUAAUACCGCAUACGAUCUAAUCUCGGCAUCGAGGAUGGAUGAAAGGUGGCCUCUACAUGUAAGCUAUCACUGAAGGAGGGGAUUGCGUCUGAUUAGCUAGUUGGAGGGGUAACGGCCCACCAAGGCGAUGAUCAGUAGCCGGUCUGAGAGGAUGAACGGCCACAUUGGGACUGAGACACGGCCCAGACUCCUACGGGAGGCAGCAGUGGGGAAUCUUCCGCAAUGGACGAAAGUCUGACGGAGCAACGCCGCGUGAGUGAUGACGGCCUUCGGGUUGUAAAGCUCUGUUAAUCGGGACGAAAGGCCUUCUUGCGAAUAGUGAGAAGGAUUGACGGUACCGGAAUAGAAAGCCACGGCUAACUACAUG
rnacentral:rRNA from 1 species